rnacentral:rRNA from 1 species
UACGUAGGGUGCAAGCGUUGUCCGGAAUUACUGGGCGUAAAGAGCUCGUAGGUGGUUUGUCGCGUUGUUCGUGAAAACUCACAGCUCAACUGUGGGCGUGCGGGCGAUACGGGCAGACUUGAGUACUGCAGGGGAGACUGGAAUUCCUGGUGUAGCGGUGGAAUGCGCAGAUAUCAGGAGGAACACCGAUGGCGAAGGCAGGUCUCUGGGCCGAUACUGACGCUGAGGAGCGAAAGCGUGGGGAGCGAACAGG